rnacentral:rRNA from 1 species
AUUGAACGCUGGCGGAAUGCUUUACACAUGCAAGUCGAACGGCAGCACGGGAGCUUGCUCCUGGUGGCGAGUGGCGAACGGGUGAGUAAUGCGUCGGAACGUACCGAGUAAUGGGGGAUAACGCAGCGAAAGCUGUGCUAAUACCGCAUACGCCCCGAGGGGGAAAGCAGGGGAUCGCAAGACCUUGCGUUAUUCGAGCGGCCGACGUCUGAUUAGCUAGUUGGUGGGGUAAAGGCUCACCAAGGCGACGAUCAGUAGCGGGUCUGAGAGGAUGAUCCGUCACACUGGAACUGAGACGCGGUCCCGACUCCUACGGGAGGCAGCAGUGGGGAAUUUUGGACAAUGGGGGAAACCCUGAUCCAGCCAUUCCGCGUGAGUGAAGAAGGCCUUCGGGUUGUAAAGCUCUUUCAGCCGGAACGAAACGGUACGCUCUAACAUAGCGUGCUAAUGACGGUACCGGCAGAAGAAGCACCGGCUAACUACGUGCCAGCAGCCGCGGUAAUACGUAGGGUGCGAGCGUUAAUCGGAAUUACUGGGCGUAAAGCGUGCGCAGGCGGAUUGUUAAGCAAGAUGUGAAAUCCCCGGGCUUAACCUGGGAAUGGCAUUUUGAACUGGCAGUCUAGAGUGUGUCAGAGGGGGGUGGAAUUCCACGUGUAGCAGUGAAAUGCGUAGAUAUGUGGAGGAACACCAAUGGCGAAGGCAGCCCCCUGGGAUAACACUGACGCUCAUGUACGAAAGCGUGGGUAGCAAACAGGAUUAGAUACCCUGGUAGUCCACGCCCUAAACGAUGUCAACUGGUUGUUGGGGGAGUGAAAUCCCUUAGUAACGAAGCUAACGCGUGAAGUUGACCGCCUGGGGAGUACGGUCGCAAGAUU